UAAGCACUCAAAUUACCCUUCUUUCUACAUAUAAACACGGCCCGGGGUGUGCGGCUCUCCCCGGCCGCGGGGUCCUCCCGGCCCAGUCCGGCUCCCCCGCACCUACCCCGGCCCCGGCCGGAGGGAGUUUCUGCUGCGGGACACGGCAGGAGAACACGAGCCGAACACAGAACCCCCGCUCCGCAUGGCUCCCCCGGGCUAGCGCUCAGGUGGUGUUGACAGAAGAAGAUGGGUAGGAGAUUUCAAUGGCAGGCACACGUGUCCCAGGAGAGGGUGAGACACCAACAGAGAUGGAGCAAGAAAUGAGCCUUGGACAGCUGCAGGAGAGAAACCCAAACCUUCUCUGGAAAGUAGGGUCACCUGCAGGCUAGGGACACCUUAUGAAACACCCAUCCCUCCAGACAUGUGUGAGCAUCAAGCAGCCACCAGGAGCUGGCAUGGGUCCCAUGGGCACUGGGGAAGGUGCAGAGCACAGCAAUGAGGGUGGCAGGUGCCACUCAGGACCCAUCUUUCUGCUGGGAUGUGCCUAUGGAUAGAAGGGGAAAUGUGAAAGGGACAAUGGGGAAUCAAGGGAACACAACAGCACCUAAAUAAAGGGGUGAAGACUGAACGUGUGAAACAAAAGUGGGGAGAAGAUCCAUAGCUGGACCAUCUCCUUCAGAGGGAGAUGAUUUCAGAGGGGUUGUGAGUGUUUGAGCCAGCUCAGGAUUUUUCUGGGAAAGGUUAGGCGGGUGUUUCUAGCGUGAUUGCAACCAAGCCAGCUCUGUUGGGGAUGGCUGCAAUGUUUAUUCAUGGUGGGGAAGGAAGGGACCAGCUGACUUUUAGAUCCCCAAAAGCAUAAAGAGUGGGCCCUUUUCUGUGAUCAUGGACAAUAAUUGUACUACUUCACCUCAGGGCUCUUCAGAUGUCAGCCAAGUCCCAACAAAUUAAAUGAUGAAGAAAGGGGGAAUAAACCCCAAUGCAAGCAAGGCAGCACAACCUCCUCCCCUGCCUUAGGGCUGCCCUUACUAAAAGCUCAGCUGAUCCUACAUUUGGGACUGAAAGGUGAACUCCAAAUGCAGAGCAAACAUCCCUUUAUGGGGUCUCUCUUUUCACCCUUAGAACAGAGACCUCCCCAUUUCCACAGCUGCUGGGUGCAGCCUCUUGGUGCCACCAUCUCAGCCUUUUGUCCCAAACAAGAUCUUCCUUUGGGAAGGCAAUUUCAUUCCCAUGCACCUUCCCUGGUUCUCUUUGGGUCUGUGUCCCCUCUCCAGCAUCCCUUCACCCUAUUAAUAUCCUUUGACUGUCCUCACACCUGCAGACAAUCUGGUCCCCAACCACCUCCACCUCCCCCCUUCCUCAAAAGCUUCCCUCAGCUGUCUUUAAGUCGUAGCUGAAAUCUGUGGUAUGUAGGAGGAGAAAUUCAGUCUGACAGCAGUUUAAAACACCGCACUACUUGGCAGAUUUAAAUGCUAUUUUAAAUAUAAGCUAUGACACAACGGACAAAAAUAGCAUUGAAAAUACCCUGUCAUGUUCCAUAUUGCGAGGAAUAGGGAAGCAGACCAGGCUAGAAAGGAGCAGAGAGAGGGGCCAGAUGGAGAGGAGAGGUUAUUUUGUUUGUUUUAAAGAAACUGGAUAAAUGUAUUUUGUAUGUGACUGAGUAAAUGUGUUUUAUAGAGCAACGAGCCAAAAAAAAAAAAAUAAACCUUCUCAUGAAAAAUCUACAUAUUUUAUUUGAUGUGGGAUCUGCCAAAGCAGGUUUGCUGCUGAGAGGAUAUAUUUGUUAUCAGGUUGUUUUGGAGAUGCUCAACACCAGCAGCCACCAGCUACUGAAGACCACUUCGUCUCUGCUGAAUCUUUUUCUUCCCUUUAUUUAUUUAUGUUUUAAUAGGAAUUUGCUCUUUUCAAAAUAAAAAAAAGAAAGAAAAAGACAUUCCAAAUACCUGGAAGUGACUUUUCACCUGUGACUCCCAGCUUGGUGACCCUGCACUGGAGGAGUUGAUGGAUUGCAGAGCUUGGCAGGGAGUGUCCCUGCAGGGUCAGCCUGUGGGACCAGGCAGGCUGAGCCACCUCUGAUUGCCCAAGGGGCCUGGGUGUGUGCCUGGGACAUCCUGGGAGCUCUCCUGACCCUGCAGCAUCGUUGCUUUCUGGCAUGGGUAGGAAACAUCUGGAGCAUCUGGGCCCUGAAGCUGCAGGGCUGCAAGGAGAGGUUUCUUCAUCAUUUUUCCUGAAUGCAACCACUGCUCCAAGCUGCUCUCUCAUCACAGCAUCUUCUUCCCCACCGCUCCCCACACUCUGUCUUACAGGGAAGGACAAAUAUCUGCCCACGCUUUGGGUUUGUCUCCUGGGGCUGGGUUUUGGCUCCUUCCAGUCCCCCCAGUAUAACCAGCAGUAAAUCUGGUCAUGAGAAUGACCUGAGGAGAGUGCAAGAGACAGGGGAGAAGUCAGAAUGUGAGCAAGUCUUGGCUGCAGCACCAUGAGAUAAAUGGAAAGCCUGGAGACAAGGGCUGGUGUUCCACACUAGACUGUCCCUACCUGGGGACAGGCACAGCGCUGGCACUCAUGGGACAGAGGUGCCAGAUGCCAGCUGUGUCCCCAAAAUGGGGCAGAAUGAGAGGUUCACUCCCAGUUCAGGAUCUGAGCAGCUCUGCCUCUGGCUGCCUGACUGCAAUAGCAAUUGCCCCUCUUUUGCUGGGGUAAGGAUUUGGUCCUGACAACACCUCACAGCACAAUUUACCGGGGUGGCUGAGCUGCCAGGGCUCUGAUGAACACCCUGGCAGGAAUUCAGGGGCUCCCCAAGCCUCCUGCAUCCACUGCUAAUCCAGCUGCAGCAGCUGAAACUAGGGGCAAAGACACAGAGUGAAACAUUUUAGCUAUCAUCUUAAAAAGGUCUUUUUUAUUUUAAACCCAACAUGUUAUUAUAAUGGAAACACACAAUUUGAAGAGCUUAACAGAACAGUUCAAUGAAGCCAGGUUAGCAUUAGAAAUCAAAGACUGAGAUCUUUCAACCCCUUAAAAAUCAUCAUGGCCUGGGAAAAUAUGCCCCCCCCAGACAGAUUUCUCUGACCAUCCAGUGGUGGAUGCAUAAAAAGCUUUUUAUUAGGAGAGAGAACAGCCCUGAAUCUGUGCUCCAUUCUCACCUCUGGGUGCCCACUCCCAGCUAGGGGCUCGUGGCUCCUCCUGAACCCUCAGUCUGUGCCCACCUUGGGGUUCCUGUGGGCACUCUGGAAGGAAGGGACACCUCAGGCACUGUUCACAUCAGGAACAGCAUCACUGCUCACAGUGCCACGAAGUCCGUGGCCUUUUCUGUCUCUGGACUAAGGCACUGGCAGAGCAGGGCACCCACACCUCCACAUCUUAAUAAAGAUUUUUAACACUCCCAGUUGCCCUGCCUGCUGCAGGGCAGAGUCAAUAGCAGCAGUUUCAGCCUGGAGUCUGGCUCUACACCUGUGCCAAGUGGGAUGUACCCAGCUCUCAGCCUUGCAGAGGGGGCUGUGUACCCUCCCCAACACCUCCCUGUGCAUACAGAAACCCAGAACUAGAGGGAAACAGGAGGAACCCUGAUGAGAGGUGAAGGAAAACUCCUGGUAGGGCCAAAAGAGGCUUUGCUGGGCUACAGACUGAGUAGCAUCACUGCUGCCAGAGCUGGGAGCUCGCCUCACCAGUGAUUUUCAUGCCCCACUCAGAAAAGCAGAACCAUCGCUCUGUAAAAGCAGCUCUGUUGUGCUUCUUUUUUAUUUCAGAUGAAAAUAAAAGCAUUUCAGUGUCCUUU